rnacentral:rRNA from 1 species
GAUGAACGCUGGCGGCGUGCCUAAUACAUGCAAGUCGAGCGAACGGACGAGAAGCUUGCUUCUCUGAUGUUAGCGGCGGACGGGUGAGUAAAACGUGGAUAACCUACCUAUAAGACUGGGAUAACUUCGGGAAACCGGAGCUAAUACCGGAUAAUAUUUUGAACCGCAUGGUUCAAAAGUGAAAGACGGUCUUGCUGUUACUUAUAGAUGGAUCCGCGCUGCAUUAGCUAGUUGGUAAGGUAACGGCUUACCAAGGCAACGAUGCAUAGCCGACCUGAGAGGGUGAUCGGCCACACUGGAACUGAGACACGGUCCAGACUCCUACGGAAGGCGGCAGUAGGGAAUCUUCCAGAAUGGGCGAAAGCAUGACGGAGCAACGCCGCGUGAGUGAUGAAGGUCUUCGGAUCGUAAAACUCUGUUAUUAGGGAAGAACAUAUGUGUAAGUGACUGUGCACAUCUUGACGAUAACUAAUCAGAAAGCCACGGCUAACUACGUG